CUCUCCGAGUUUCCUGCUUCUCAGACUCGAGGCUAAGCUGCCGCAUUACCGGCCUUCGGAUUUAAUUUCGGACUUCCCCGACUCGCUCCCCGCUCGCUCCCCCCUCCCUGCGGCCGCUGCCCAACAGCCGCCGGCGGCAGGUGCGCGCGGCGCCGCUCCGUGCCGCGUGAGUCGAGCCUGAGGUGCGUGAGGCGCGACAGGGAGCUGCCCCGCGCCUCUCCUGGGUGAGCAGCUGCGGGGGGACAGGACUGGUCAAGUGCCUGAAUUGGAUUACCAUCUGGAACAUAAGCAUGCAGUGUCCAGAUCUCACCUUGAUGACAGAUUUUUCAAGAAAGCCAGGGUCUGUGGUUGGAAAAGCCAGAUUUCAGAAUCUAACCAGCUCAGAACGAAUGUAGCUCUUCACUGUGACCCUGCAGUCUUCCAGGAAAAAUGGAUCAAAAUAGGAACAGAAAACCCCAGACUUUUGUCGUAUAUGGUUUUAGCCAUCUGAAAGCUUUGUGCCUUUCCCUUGGAAGUCAGAGGAAGCAGUGAAUCAUGCUAUCUUAAAAUCAGUGCCCCCAGUAGGGAGAAUCAGUUUGAUUCUGGAAUGACUGGCUUCAGAAAGAGGUAGAAUGAAAUUCUUAGAACAGAUGUCCAGCUUUUUUGACCGAUGCAGGUAACUGAGGUGAAUGCCUCUUUGAAUGUUUUUAAGUUCAAGAUCUCAGUUAUGCUUUCC
rnacentral:lncRNA from 1 species